rnacentral:lncRNA from 1 species
GCGUGGACGCGUAGUGGAGGGAGGAGGGCAAGAAGCCAAGAAGAGUUUCUCCAGGAGCACACCCGCAGGGUGUUCGUCGGAAUGCCGCAACGGACAUGCCAUCGGCACAGUAGCAGUGGCGGCUAUGUCAAUUUGCUUCGGAUGCUUCAUCAGGUGCACCUGUAUUUUGCUUGAUCCUUAUCAGUAUUGUUCGUCGGUCUGCUACAAAUUGCGUUGCUUUUGUUGUUCAGCAUGCGCUGUUUUUACAUGGUAGCUGGAAUGCUGGCAGCCCGGCCAUAUUGAGCUUUGAUUCUACACUUCUUUGGCUUUCUGCCUAAAUGCCCGAUUUCAGUUUCACUAUGCCAAUGCGAAUUUAUGGAAGUUGCUACCAGUGAGAAAGUGUCAAGUAUUCACACACACUGACACAGAAUCAAGUUUUUUUAACCGUGAACAUGUACGUUAUCCUCUCAAAGAAGAAAUAUACUCACAAGAUCACUAUUUACAUUGUGAAGGUACGACCGUACUAGUCACUACGAUGCUGUGUCCUCAGGAGGGGUGCCUUGUACAACAAAGGGGUGUCAUUUCCUUAUUUUCCAUGUGUGUUCUGUACACGCUCUGCAUUUACAAAAGUUGAUCCAUGUUCUGUGCUCUUCUCUUUUCUUUUGCGCCCUUCACAAGGGGAUCCAUGCCUGUAAUAGCAAUUUAUUCUUGGUGUAAAUGCUAGAAGAACAUGAACGACACCUCAUAAGAUUCAUGGUAUGCUACUGAGUACUGACCUUGAUUAACCCGGUUUCAGUUCCACAGAAAAUGAUGUCGUUUGCGGUGAAGAUGCUCGUUAUCUUACUCCCUGCAGACAGCCUUCCAACUUUCUGCUGCUUCUCUCUCAACCAUAUCUGUCAAUAUCAAUUGGCAGAAGCAUAAUCAGGUUGGUAAGUUCUGUAAUUUUGUAAUUAAGACAUCGGAGUGAAAGAGGUGUACUAGUAUGACAUGCCACAUAUUGAUAUAUAGAUUAGUGUAACCAAAAUAAUGAUGAUGAUGAUAAUAAUAGUAAUAAUCUUUCUUCAGGUAGUAGUAGUAAUAAUAAUAAUAAUAAUAAUAAUAAUAAUAAUAAUAAUAAUAAUAAACCUAUUACCUGAAUGACACUUGGGCUUUUAUUGCAGGUCAAGUAGAUGAAGUCCUCGACCACUGCCAUUGCCUCUACAUUUGUUCCCUUUGGCAUUGGCAUUGUCAUCGUGGGCUUGCAUCGCCUUUUCCAGUCCUGUUUCCAAAGUAGUACCAUGUUUAGCAUUUUAUUUUUCAUGUGAUGGAUGAUGGUUUUGAGAGAUCAACUGAACAUUACCUUUAUGGCAGAUCCUUCCACUUGAGAACCACCACAGUACAUCCAAUCUUUAUAUAGUACUAUGGAGCUAAUUGAUUGCUUACUGAUUCUCCAGCUUCUUGUAGGUGCUCUUAUCUCAAUCUUCGAUUCUACUGAUACAUCUAAUUCCUGAUAACAUGUUUUAUAUUUCAGAUAUCAUGUUUUUAGAUGCUGCUACCAUCAUCGACUAACAAAACUAACCUGUAUACUCAAGUCUCCGCAGCCGAGGUAAGCUUUUCCCUGAGAAAGAGCUAAGGAUUUUACAUGCUUGCUCUUGUAAAAUGUCUGGGUGCUUCUUGCUGAACAAGAGAACUGUGGAAGUAAAAGGAAUGCAAAGUAAAAACAGUGUUAUUGCUAUACACCCCAUCCGGUGAGAUAAUUUCUGGACCAUAGGAAGCAAAUGCACACCUUCAGAACGUUUUUAUGUGUAAGUACAAUAAUUUUGUCACCGUAAAUAUCAAACUUCUGCACAGCCUCUUUUAUUUGAAAUACCUCAACACACUCAAGCUUGCGCUGUGCCAUUUUCCAUACCUGCAAAGGAGCAUUAUUUUACCCGAACAAAGGAGCAUAUUAGUUAAUGAUUUAUGAUUACUUUUCCUUUAUGGUUGAUUGCAGUUCCUACCCGAAUAGAUUUGUCAGCUGAUCCGCUCAAGAGAUUUUGUCCAGUUUCUGAUAGUGCAAAACACGUGACUGCUUUCUUGUGCUCUUUAACCUCUCUGAUGAUUACUGCUCUCUGGCCUUUUAUAUCCCAUGCCUGUGUAGGAACACCCAAGUAUUAGGAAUUUAGUUAGCAAACUAUUACAGUGUUACUCUCGUUUUAAUAGAUGAUUUUUAAGGAGAAAAACCAUAGAUUAUCCCUAAUUAUGAAUUAACUAUUGCCAUGCAAAUAUAUGUGUGUUACUUUUGUUUAAGGCAAAUAUGUGUGACUUAUGGGUUGGAAAGUAUCUACUGAGAUAUGGAACAUAUCAUUACCCUGAUGGUGCCAUUGAAGUAACCAACAAAGAGCUGCCCUCUAAAGAAUGUUAUAGCAGUUGCUGCUCCAUUGCCAGGUUGACCAAUCUCUAGGAUUUGUGUAUGUACACAUGAUACACGCUGCACUGACAACUUCAGACAAUUAGAUUUCAUGUAAAAGUAAAGCUUUGCGAAGGAGAACUAGAGUCGAAUAAUUCUUAUUACAUCUGCAUUAUAGCUUCUGGAAAAUCCUAAAGCACAUGUUCUUGAGUUUAGAAGGGAAAAAAGGACCACGCUAAAAUUAUAAAGACACGUAGAUGUCCAUUUUAAUAUUGGUGCCAUCUUUUAUUUAAGACAGUAUAAUUCAUCUUUAUUACUCCCUCCGUCCAACAAUAUAAGAUGUUAUUACAUCCAAUAUACUCACAUAUUGGAUGUAACAACAUCUUAUAUUGUGGGACGGAGGGAGUAUAAGUUAAAGACGAAUAUGAACCAUCGAGUUUUCGCUCACAGAUCUGAUUCAGAAAGGAAGGAGGGGAAAAUAAGUAAAUAAAACAUGACUUAAUUUUAACAGUACUCACUGGUUUCCUAGGGAGGUAGUAAUCUGUAACUUGAAGUAACUCCUCAGCCAUCCAUGUGAAUGAUGAAAGCCUCCUAAGGGAUUCUCGCGAACCCUCUGACAAGCUCAUCAACUUUUGCUUACCUGACGUUGGGGAAACAGAUCACUUCUUUGGAACAUAUUAAUUUGACUAUUAUUGUGUUACAAACUUAGGCUAGUUGACUCUACAUUUGGAAUCAACAUAAUACGCAAUGUACUAGCUAGUCAAUACCAAACCAUUCAACUUUAAGUCUAAUAAAUAGGUAUAAGAAACUCUCCUUACCUUUUCCAGAGGUGUAGUUAUAUACACACAUGCACGCUAGAACCCUUUCGUCAAGCUCGUUUCCCGGAUGAAGGUGGUGCACUAUGUCAAGCAACAAGAUCUCACAAGCAUAAUAUCUUAUAUCAUUUUCACCAAGGGAAGCCAGCUCACUUGCAAGCCAUGCGGCGCAUACUAGGCAGUCGUGUGAGGUUCCCUUCACCUUGCUUUGCAAUCCUUUGGCUAGUGCACUGAUAAAUGGCACUCCUAUUCCUAUAAUUGCUCGUGCAAAUUUGUUGCUCCAUGAGUUUAUUUCUGUAUCCUGCAUCGUAUUUUUACUCGUCAAUUAAAACUAGUUUCUGUUACGCUAGCAAAUAAUGAAUAUUUUUAUACUUGACCUGAAGGCAAGCAUCCUGCCAGUCGAUGUUCCUGAUCAUAUUUCUAUGAGAUUUCGAGGUGAGACCUGCUUUCUUUGAUAGCCAUGCAGCAGUGUAGGAUUCUC